rnacentral:lncRNA from 1 species
AGGUGGGCCGGGGUGAUUGUUGUGUUUUAAUGCUAGAUGAUAAGAAUCAGAGUCAUACCUGCUCAUUCUUGCUCGGCGAUUACAAACACGGAGCAUUUCAAGUGGACACAAAUUUCGGGUGAUGUUGUUCCAGUGACUACCUCCAACACCUGUAAGACAGGCAUUAUGGUAAUGAUGCCUGCCCUUGCUGUCACUUGUACUCAUUCACAUGGUUUCUCACGCAGCAGGCGAAUCCUGUUACCUCUGACCCGCAGGUGGGAAAUGCACCAUGGCCCAGUCCCAGCAUCCCUCCUCCAGUCUUUCCACUGCUGGGAUCAGACCACUUUUCAGCUGGAAGAUGCACAGUGACAGGGUGACCCCCGUUGGUGUACGGAAAUGGAGCAAUUCAUGAGUAAUGGACCGUUUCCUGACAUGCAUAUGCUGCAGCCCAUCUUUUGUUCUCGGAUCUUCAGGGACUAUCUCUUAUCAUAGGUCUUUCCCCCCAUGGAGAAAUGCUUGGAGAUUGCUUUAGGUAACACAGCAGUGGGUAACUGUCAAAGCCAACUUAAAUUAAAGAAUCUUUUCAGCAGUUCCGAGUAUGCCAUUAGUGGUCAACUGCAGGGGUAAAUGAUUUAAUUCACUUUCAAAGAGCUUUAAGCUUAGAAAUGUUUGGGUUUCAGACCUAUCUCACAAAUAGGGACCACUACCUUGUUGUCAUGAGCACCCGAAACUCCCAUUGGAAACCAUGGGGCUCUGUUUUAUGAUCAAUGGUCUUUGCAGGAAAUACCACUUUGAGGACUGAAUUCAUGACCUAACAGAGAAGGCCAAACCCUUGCUGUUGCCUUAUCUUUCAGGGGAUGUCCACCUUUCCUACACUAACAGAUGGCACAGCAACAACAGCUCUCUGGAGAGGUUUUGUGGAUGCACAGUUCACAGUGAGCAUAAAACUGUAAAACCAGACCAAAAACUUUCAUUACCCAGCGAUGCAAGUCACAACAGCAGGGUUAAAUCUGUUUCUAUUUAGACAAUAUCUGGAACAGCGUUUUAUUAUACAGCCUGUAAAGCACUGCCUGUGCAUGGGUGGAAAGUACAUUGUCUCCUUAAAUAAAGAACUGGGGCAGGAUUGUUUGGCA